UACGGGGGGGGGCAAGCGUUGUUCGGAAUUAUUGGGCGUAAAGGGCUCGUAGGCGGCCAACUAAGUCGGAUGUGAAAUCCCCAAGCUUAACUUGGGAACUGCAUCCGAUACUGGAUGGCUUGAAUCCGGGAGAGGGAUGCAGAAUUCCAGGUGUAGCGGUGAAAUGCGUAGAUAUCUGGAGGAAUACCGGUGGCGAAGGCGGCAUCCUGGACCGGCAUUGACGCUGAGGAGGCGAAAGCGUGGGGAGCGAACAGG
rnacentral:rRNA from 1 species